UGGAGAACCAUGUGUACCUCAACAUCGUGCAGUAGCAGAAGCUGGAUCGCCAUGAGCUGGAACGCCCGUUGAAGAAGUCACUCUGCUCACCAUCAGUAUGACAGACUUGUCGCUCAUUAGAUCAUGAGGGAGGUGCGCUGGCUACGUCUCUAGGGACUGUGUGGCGGGUGUGACCUCUCCCAGCUCCCCGCCUUCGCCCGCGAUGACGAGGACCAGGUCCGCUGCGCCUCCAAUCCCAGAUCAUGGUCGCGCAGGACAUGCUCCAUGACGCUGUGUGUGUGUCGAUCUGAAGCUAUCCUCUAUUGCAUCUAGAGGCUUGUACAAGCCAUAGAUCAAAUCCGACAAGAGAAGAAAUAUGUGUGUCUGAGGAACCAAGACGCCAAAGGUUCAGAGCGGCAUUGUGCUGAAAAAGCCAGGACAAUGUAAGAGGCUUGCACACAAGGAUCUAGGUUUCUCUACGAGCAGCAGAAUCAAUAUCCGAUAGAAUAUAACAAUUACGGACGAGGAGCCGCAACCGUAGCUUGUUGAGAUGUUGCAUAGCUUUCAGAGAACUAGGAAAGUAAUGGUGGACUCUCAUGAAGCACAAAGACAGAUAAUGUUUGAGGCAAAUUCCUUCACCGGCCCUGCGUAUGAGAAAUUCUGCAAUGAUGCCCAGCGGCAUGCUACUCUCAAG